rnacentral:rRNA from 1 species
UCGCACGAGAAAGCGGGAGCAAUCUCGCAAGUAAAGUGGCGUACGGGUGAGUAACACGUGGAUCAUCUGCCCUGGAGUGGGGAAUAACGCUGGGAAACCGGCGCUAAUACCGCAUAUUCCCGAGAGGGGAAAGCAGCAAUGCGCUCGAGGAGGAGUCCGCGGCCGAUUAGCUAGUUGGCAGGGUAAAAGCCUACCAAGGCUAUGAUCGGUAGCCGGCCUGAGAGGGCACACGGCCACACUGGCACUGAAACACGGGCCAGACUCCUACGGGAGGCAGCAGUGGGGAAUCUUGCACAAUGGGGGAAACCCUGAUGCAGCGACGCCGCGUGAGCGAUGAAGCCCUUCGGGGUGUAAAGCUCUUUCGGCAGGGAAGAUUAUGACGGUACCUGCAGAAGCAGCUGCGGCUAACUACGUGCCAGCAGCCGCGGUAAUACGUAGGCAGCAAGCGUUGUUCGGAGUUACUGGGCGUAAAGGGUGUGUAGGUGGCGCGCUAAGUUCCGUGUGAAAUCUCCCGGCUCAACCGGGAGGGUGCGCGGAAAACUGGCGGGCUAGAGUGCGGGAUGGGAGAGUAGAAUUCCUGGUGUAGCGGUGAAAUGCGUAGAUAUCAGGAGGAAUACCGGUGGUGUAGACGGCUCUCUGGACCGUAACUGACACUGAAACACGAAAGCGUGGGUAGCAAACAGGAUUAGAUACCCUGGUAGUCCACGCCCUAAACGAUGCAUAUUUGGUGU